rnacentral:tRNA from 1 species
UCCCGGGUCGUCUAAGGGCAAGACGUCAGAUUUUGGUUCUGAUCAUGGGGGUUCGAGUCCUCCCCCGGGAGCUA